rnacentral:lncRNA from 1 species
CAAGAUUCAGGGUGUAAAUACAGCCACAUUCGUUAUUUUCUAAAGUAAAUUAAAAUGGGACUCCAGCCCUCAGAAGCCAGAUUAGCAGGGAGUCCAGCGCAUUGUGCUUCAUCCAUUAACCACUGCAGUACCUCUCUCCCAUGGAUGAUCUGAGAAUCUCCAGACACUCAGGAAGUGAACUCCAGAGCACAAGUCUAUUAUUCUCCCUCCCAAGAGGAGAACAUCCCUAUCGUCCUACCGGAACUGUUGUGUUUCUUGCUGCUGUACAAUUGUCCACCAUCCGUAGCAACCCAGCAGCUCUCCACUACAGUCAAAUUUCACUGGCCAAAUUUGCAGCAAACAUGUGCUACCUAGGCCAACUGUAUUGUUUCUUAUUCCAGAUGUGCUUAAAUAACCGGCAACAACAGUUAUCUGAUGGAGAAAUGAGGAGAAAAGUACCUGGACAAUAAGCCAAUUUUAGGAAUUUCAGUUUUUGAAUGCCUUUUUCGGACUGAUACUGGGCUUGAUAUGAGGGAAGUGAAGAGGAAGAGAGGACAGUCAGUCCACGGUCUUGAAAAGUCCAUAAUUGACCUCACUGAGGUUCAAUAAAUGAAUAAAUAAACAAAGAACA